GACGAACGCUGGCGGCGUGCCUAAUACAUGCAAGUCGAAAGCAGUGGGGACGGGUGAGUAACACGUGGGUAACCUCCCAUCAGAGGGGAUACCACUUGGAAACAGGUGCUAAACCGAUACUGAUGGAUGGACGCGCGGUGCAUUAGCUAGUUGGUGAGGUAACGGCUCACCAAGGCCACGAUGCAUAGCCGACCUGAGGGGGUGAGCGGCCACACUGGGACUGGGACACGGCCCAGACUACGACGGGAGGCAGCAGUAGGGAAUCUUCGGCAAUGGACGAAAGUAUUACCGAGCAACGCCGCGUGAGUGAAGAAGGUUUUCGGAUCGUAAAACGCUGGUGUUAGUGAAGCGGUAUCUAACCAGAGAGCCACGGCUUACUACGUGCCAGCAGCGGCGGUAAUUC
rnacentral:rRNA from 1 species